rnacentral:lncRNA from 12 species
GAAAGCGUGUAACUUUGGCCUAAUAAUGAACUUUUCAUGGCGAAGAAGAAAUACACGAACUAACUGGCCACUUCAGAGACUGUGUUGUGUCUGUGUGUCGGUGUGACUGUGGGAGCCGAGGGAGCAGAGGUGUCGGUGACACAGGGAGAGGAAUGGAGAGAGAGACGAUAGAUACGGAGGGAGCGAGAUGGCUGUCAGUAUCGGUUCUGUUUGCUCCAAGCCAAGUCAGAGUGAAAACCCUGUUAUGCUAGAGAGAGAGGGAAGGAAACAUUCAAGAUUCUGGAUGAGGGACAGAGCGGAUGGAGAAGGGGAAAGGCUGGAUACAAAGGGAGAGAGAGGGAGCAUCCCUCCUGCUGUACCCACCUGCCCCCCUGCAUAUGCCGGAAAAAUGAGAAUAGAUUGGCCCAUCCGUGGAUGGUGCCAGGUGGCAUUUAGACCCCCGAGAAGAUAUGUGUGCAGUCUAUCUACCUCACAGUGA